rnacentral:lncRNA from 10 species
AAAAAUUGUUCCUGCUCUAGUUGGAAAGACUACAAGAUUGGAGUCAGAGAGAUCAGAGAAGAGGUUUCCAGGAGGGAAAUGAUAAAGAAGCCCCUUUGAGGAUAAAAGAAUUCAUCUGAGAGUCAGAUCCCUUCCUGGCUGGUGCAUCCGUCCGCCACAUGACAAGCAGUGGGGAAGUCAAUAGCACCCUCGCCCGGCUCCACCUGUGAUCCUGGAGAACAAGAGAGGAGCCGGCUGGAGGGAAGAAAAUCCUGAUCUUGUGAUUUCAAUUACAGGGAGGUGAAAAAUUAUUUGAUAUCUGAGCUUGCUAAAGGCUCCUAUUCCUUCUGCUCCAAAGAUCUUUCCUGCUAAACUGAACAAAAGAGGAGAAAGAAGUGGAGAUGCAUACUGAGGGGAAGGGGUAGUGGAAAAGAAAGCCGGCACAGCAGGAGGAGAGCAGAUGACAAUGCAGACACAAGAAAGGACUUCUCUGGAUUCUUCCUAAGUGGAAUUGACACAGCGCUGGCUCUUUCAUUAGACUUCUCUCAUCCUUUCCCCUGCUCUCGAUCUCUCAUGCCAAGAAUUGCAUUUGGAUUUUUGAAUCUACAUUGAUAGCACAGAUUUGGCUGUUACUCUCCAAUAAUAAUGUCACUUCGGCCCCCGUGUCUGGGGAAAGAGAGCAAGUAUGAUGGUGGCCCCCGCCAGGGCCCCAGCCCAGCCCCGGCCAGGCAUCCUCUGUGAUUCUCCUGGGAGCAAAAUCCUGAUGAGGCUUUUGACAUGGUUCUUCUUUUCAACUAAAUAAGAGAGAGGCCUAUACGAAUGGCAGCCCUAGCUGACUGGAGACAUCUCACUAGGUGAAGGCAGUAGAUUAUAUGACCAUGGUGUCCCAGCGACCAGCAUUCAAACCUGCCUUGACUUCUGGGUGUGCGAUGUUGGGCAACUUCCUAAGCUCUUGGAGCCACAGUCUCCUCUCAAGGGGAGGAGAGUAAGGUUUACCCAGUACAGUCAUGUGAGGCUAAAAGAAAAUAUAUAUAUAUAUAUUACUUAGCUCACAUGAAUACUUUGUGUCUCUAGAAGUCAGCUCCCCUCUGUAUACAGAAAGAAUCCUCAUAAAUUAGGCUUUUGGAAGAAUAAAAUCCUCUGUUCUAUACAAGAUCAAGAUAUAGCAUCCAACAAUGGUGAAAUAAAUUUGCCUCCAUGCUCUGUUUGUAGUUUAGCACCAUCAGCAUUUUGUCUAACCUUGUCUUUAGACUCUGUGUACAUGCAAUUAAAAUGUUG